UACGGGGGGGGUAAACGUUGUUCGGAAUUACUGGGCGUAAAGGGCGCGUAGGCGGUUUGGUAAGUUACUUGUGAAAUCUUCGAGCUUAACUCGGAACGGUCAAGUAAUACUGCCGAACUAGAGUGCAGAAGGGGCAACUGGAAUUCUUGGUGUAGCGGUGAAAUGCGUAGAUAUCAAGAGGAACACCUGGGGCGAAGGCGGGUUGCUGGGCUGACACUGACGCUGAGGCGCGAAAGCUAGGGGAGCAAACAGG
rnacentral:rRNA from 1 species